GCGGAAAUUCCCCAUCGCCGCCGACCGCCGAAGGGACGCCUCAACACGAGACGCCGGUGGCCUCGGCGACGGCCGACGGGCGAUGUCGGGUCGGCGGAAUCGAGGGCUACGCGCCGCGCAUCGACUCGUUCGAAGAUGCGUCGCGUGAUGGCUUUGCCCUUGCAAACCGCAGCUAGGUUCGCUGUCUGGAUCACCACCUCUUCUUUGUCGGCACAAGUUUGCGUUCCCCAAGAAGCUUCGGUGUGGAAUGAUUCCUUUUCAGCCUUCGCGAGGGAUUUUGGUCUGGACUGACUGCAGAGUAAACUUCCUGGCAAACCAGACGAAGUACAGAGGGGAAACAAGCUAAUAAAUGUAAGGGAAUCCAACUAAGGGAUUGGAUGGAGUGGGAUACAGAUUGUUUUCCACACUGGGCCACUUAUCCAAUUUCUAAAGGAUGAUGGAGCUUGCUAUUUAGAAAGGUGCGCACCACCGACAGCGCAACUACAGAAAGCAGCAGAAAGAAUGGGUAGCUUUUGUUCAAAAAAAGGAGGAACGGAUAGCAUGAUCCUAUGAAGAGUUUACCAGUG